rnacentral:tRNA from 1 species
GCCCCAGUGGCAUAAUGGGUAAAUCACUGGCCUCCUAAGCCAGGAAUUGUGGGUUCAAGUCCCAUCAGGAGUU